rfam:Mesonia phycicola strain DSM 21425 genome assembly, contig: Ga0070602_101
GAAGAACCAAACGUUAGGGGUUGUAACGGCAUCCUUUUUUUGCUUUAGCAAGUGGCAAAAAAAGAUAUAGUGUAAAACCCGACCAAAA